AUACUCCCGUGAGACCGAUAGCGAACGAGUACUGUGAAGGAAAGGUGAAAAGAACCCCGAGCAGGGGAGUGAAAUAGAUCCUGAAACCAUACGCCUACAAGCGGUCGGAGCAGCUUCGUGCUGUGACGGCGUGCCUAUUGAAUAAUGAGCCUACGAGUUACUAAUCACUGGCGAGGUUAAGUGCACGGAUGCACGGAGCCGAAGCGAAAGCGAGUCUGAACAGGGCGGCUAGUCAGUGGUUGUAGACGCGAAACCUUGCGAUCUACCCUUGAGCAGGUUGAAGGUUGGGUAAAACCAACUGGAGGACCGAACGAAUAAGCGUUGAAAAGCUUCUCGAUGACUUGAGGGUAGGGGUGAAAGGCUAAUCAAGCUGGGAAAUAGCUCGUACUCCCCGAAAUGCCUUUUGGGGCAGCGUUGUAAUAAAGAGUCUACUGGAGGUAGAGCUACUGAUUGGAUGCGGGGGCUUCACCGCCUACCAAAUCCUGACAAACUCCGAAUGCCAGUAGUAUGAUUUACAGCAGUGAGCGACCGGGUGCUAAUGUCCGGUUACGAGAGUGGAACAACACAGACCAGCAACUAAGGUCCCGAAGAGUAUACUAAGUUGAUCUAACGAUGUUUUGCUGCAGAGACAGCUAGGAUGUUGGCUUGGAAGCAGCUAUUCAUUCAAAGAGUGCGUAACAGCUCACUAGUCGAGCGGCAAAGCGUGGAUAAUAAACGGGCAUCAAGUAUACCACCGAAGUUCUGGGCACGAAAGUGCGGUAGGGGAGCAUUCCAUUGACGUCGAAGCCAUUCCGCGAGGAUAGGUGGAGUUUAUGGAAAAGCAAAUGUAGGCAUGAGUAACGAUAAUGCGGGAGAGUAACCCGCACACCGCAAGACCAAGGUUUCCUGAUCAACGCUAAUCGGAUCAGGGUUAGUCGGGUCCUAAGGGUAAGCCGAACGGUGAUCUCGAUGGACAAUCGGUUAAUAUUCCGAUACUAACAUAUACCUCGAUGGAGAGACGAAGGAACGUAAGUGACGCCGCCUGACGGAAUAGGUGGUUAAAGGGCGUAGGUAUAGGGACAGAUUAAGAGUUAGUCCUUGCUGAAAUCCGACAGUACGGAGCGGCUACGGCCAAUCUGAUAGUUCACCCAAGUCGACUUCCGAGAAAAUCUUCUAAGUUAUAGUAUAUGUUACCCGUACCGUAAACCGACACAGGUGGUCGAGGAGAGUAUCCUAAGGUGCUCGAGUGAAUCACGGUUAAGGAACUAGGCAAAUUAACCCUGUAACUUCGGGAAAAGGGGUCCCUACGCGAGUAGGGCGCAGCGAAGAGGUCCAGGCGACUGUUUAUCAAAAACACAGGGCUCUGCAAAUUCGAAAGAAGACGUAUAGGGCCUGACACCUGCCCGGUGCUGGAAGGUUAAGAGGGGAUGUCAUCGCAAGAGAAGCAUUGAAUCGAAGCCCCAGUAAACGGCGGCCGUAACUAUAACGGUCCUAAGGUAGCGAAAUUCCUUGUCGGGUAAGUUCCGACCUG
rnacentral:rRNA from 1 species